AAAGGGAGUAUCAAAGAAGCUAGAUAUAAAUAAUGCUGACAAGUUGCAUGUACCUUGGAAGAAGAAGAAGAUACAAGAUGGGUCUGCAAAGGUUUCACUGCAUGGUUCUGCUGCUCUUGGUCUCCACCUUCCAGGUUCACAUCUCUUUGAGUACUGCAGAGGCAGGGCCACUUCCCUUCACCAAGCAAGAGAGAUAUGUCGCGGUGCUGGAGUCACUGGGAAUCAAGUGCCAGUGCUGUGAUGGGGCUGGAGGUGAAUGCAGGAGCAGCUGGGACUCCAACUGCAGCAAGCUGGACUGCCAUAACCUCAAGUUCUUAUGAUUUUGGUCUGAAACUUUCUUUCAUGUUGUCUUGUUCGAUCUUUCUUGUAUUUUCUACCGUUCCAUAAAACAUGGCAGAUCAGUUUGAGGCUGCAAGAAGAAAGCUUGAUGGAAAAGAAAAACCAUGGAUUAGUUUGUUUGAUGGAUAUCUACUAAUAUAUAAAGAGAUCAUCUGCAAGUGCAGUCUGAAGUUAUCCUACUACUGUCCAUUGAACAUUUUUCUUGCAAGCACAUCUUGAUUUCCAUCCAAAUAUUGAAAUGAAAUUUAUAACUUUUAAAUA